CGGAGUGGACUCUUCAUUUGGGCGUCGGUCAUUGUAGGCGUGUAGAUGAAUCUGCCAAUAAAAGAGAGAGCUUGGUCUAAUUCUAAUGAUUUGAGAAAGAAGGCUUGAAUUCAAUUGUUUGCAGACUUUUUUUUCCAUGUGUAUGAUGUUGAUGAGAUCCAGUCCAGUGUUCGUCGUAGGGCCACUCCCACUCUUUCUCUCCCUGCUACUCAAAUCCCCAUGACUGCACCUCUCACUGACGCCACCGCCGCCAACAUUUUCAGUAUCCAUCAGUGCAACACCACCAGUACGGUGCUCAAAUCCCCAUGACUGCACCUCCCGCCGCCGCCACGGCCUCGAACAUUUUUAGUAUCCAUCUGUGCAACACCACCAGUACGGUGCUCAAUUCCCCAUGACUGCACCUCCUGCCGCCACCACGGCCUCCAACAUUUUUAGUAUUCAUCUGUGCAACACCACCAGUACGGUGCUCAAAUCCCCAUGACUGCACCUCCCGCCGCCGCCACGGACUCCAACAUUUUUAG